CCUACGGGUGGCUGCAGUGGGGGAUAUUGCACAAUGGAGGAAACUCUGAUGCAGCGACGCCGCGUGAGUGAAGAAGUAUUUCGGUAUGUAAAGCUCUAUCAGCAGGGAAGAUGAUGACGGUACCUGACUAAGAAGCCCCGGCUAACUACGUGCCAGCAGCCGCGGUAAUACGUAGGGGGCAAGCGUUAUCCGGAUUUACUGGGUGUAAAGGGAGCGCAGGCGGUUUGGCAAGUUGAGAGUGGAAGCAGGGGGCUCAACCCCUUGACUGCUCCCAAAACUGUUAAACUUGAGUAUGGGAGAGGCAGGCGGAAUUCCUAGUGUAGCGGUGAAAUGCUUAGAUAUUAGGAAGAACACCGGUGGCGAAGGCGGCCUGCUGGACCAAAACUGACGCUGAGGCUCGAAAGCGUGGGUAGCAAACAGGAUUAGAUACCCCUGUAGUC
rnacentral:rRNA from 1 species